AUAAAGCACUGUUUUGUUUGCCUUUCAGUGCUAUGAGUCUUGAUAAAUUGGAGAAGAGCCCAAGAGAAAUUUUUCAUCCCUUGAUAUAAAAGGGAUCGGUGAAUUUUAACUUUGGAGUCCUCUGUGCUAAGGAUGCUCAGCUUACCGAUGAUGAAAUGUUCAGUAAUGUAUUUGCUGCAGCUCUGCUUACCCAAGCUUUGGGUUCCUUCUGUCCCACUGGGAGUGGCCCAGUUUGGUUGCAUCUGGUGAAAUUCACCCUGAGACCUUACAGAACCAGCUCCAACUACGUGAGAGCCAUUUGCAGUUCUCUCCAGACACCUGGAGAAGGGGUGACGUUUCUGAGGAUCCGGCGAGCGUGCUUCUGUCAAAACUCAGUCUGUGAAGUUUCUGGGGAAAACCCUUCUGUGUCCUGAAGGGUUCAAACUCUGGUGAGGAUCCAGUUAUCAGGUGCUCACCUGGAUGGUUCCAGCUCCCAAAGGGAAAGACUCUCGUAUCCUUGUCGUCGGUCUCGGUGCUGUCCAAGAAGAUACAGAGACUAAAAAAAUCAUAAGAAGCAAAAUAUGACUGCAGGGAAAAGAAGCUGGAGAGAACAGAAGACUCAUCACGGCGGGACAGCGUGAGGACUGAAAGUGUAAGAAGAUGUGGAGGGAAACAGAGAAUCUGACAGGAGCAGCGAACGCACGAGUGCACGAAUUUUGCUUUUUGCUUGGAUGUAAACUCAGGAGUUGAAAGGAAUUUUGGAGUGAGAAGGGACAUUU